ACCUUCUCAUGAGCUCCUCAUAGUCAUGCCAUGAUUAUGCAUGGAUUCGCACGAGAAGCAGAGCCAAUGCACAGUUUAAACAGGCUCACUCAGUCACAUGAGGUUACAGCCCAUGUCUGCUGUGCUACAUGA